GAGAGUUUGAUCCUGGCUCAGAAUCAACGCUGGCGGCGUGCCUAACACAUGCAAGUCGAACAAGAAAGGGACUUCGGUCCUGAGUACAGUGGCGCACGGGUGAGUAACACGUGACUAACCUACCCUCGAGUGGGGAAUAACUUCGGGAAACCGAGGCUAAUACCGCAUAAUACCCACGGGUCAAAGGAGCAAUUCGCUUGAGGAGGGGGUCGCGGCCGAUUAGCUAGUUGGCGGGGUAAUGGCCCACCAAGGCAGUGAUCGGUAUCCGGCCUGAGAGGGCGCACGGACACACUGGAACUGAAACACGGUCCAGACUCCUACGGGAGGCAGCAG
rnacentral:rRNA from 1 species